ensembl:lncRNA
GUUUCUUCCACAUAGUUUCCAUAGCAACAGUCCAGUUUUAGUGUUCUGUUGUUUUUCCACAGACAGAGAAUGGCUAAUUUUUCAGAAUGAGGGUCUUUGAUGAUAAAGAAAGCUAGGUUGCAAGAUUUACAUAAUGAAUGGCUGCCACGCUAGAUCAGUCACCACCUAGCGCUGAUGAUUGCUUUUUGAUGAAUUUCUUUCCUGCAUGUCCUCAGGAGCCUCUGCGGCAGAAGCCUAUUGUGUCCAAUAGCUUACAUUCAUCUAUUUAGGUCAGUCUCCGUCUCUUUGUCCCAACGUAGCCUUAAAAAUUGUAGUCUAAGCGCACAUAGCCUAAGGACAAAUGUCAGUGUGUCACUUGAAGAGAGCAGAGAGCAAAAGUUUCUGUUUUCAACGAGAAGUUGUGUUUUGUUUAUUGUUCCUGGGUGUAAACUCAACACUUCGUGCUAACCUUUUCCCAGGCCUUGAAGGCCCUCUCACAUUUCUUUUUUUCUUUUUUUUUUCUUCUCUGCCCCCUGCCAAGUACAAAGAGUAUAUCUGAGUGCAUUUUUGUGUGCAUUCAUACAUAUUUGUGUGUGUGUGUGCUGGCUGGGUGAUAUCAUGGGAAUGGAAGAAUUUAAUCACCUCCCGACAGAUGUGUGUGUGUGAUAUUGAUUUGUGGCUGUUUGGUGAGCACUGCUCCAGGCCCUCUGGGAGGGACAUAAACCCCCUCUAUCAAAGCGACCUCCCCUUGAGGUUUUGCGCCACACUAACACAGUGCAUCCCAUUUUUCAGAGCAUGUUUGUGGGUGUGCGUAUGUGUGUGUAGAGUACAAAGGUUAUCCCAACGUACUCGUUAAACCACUCCGGUGCUCCCAGGGAGGACGUAUAGUUCUCUGCAGAUGGAAAUGGUUGAUUCCUCCCCAGGACAAAGUAAACCUCAUAAAUAAACAAAAUUGGGAUGAAAGUAUUGCACAGCUAGUUAGAGUGCAUUGAAAUAGGACCAAAUAACUUGGGAGUAGGCAAGCAUCCUGAGUAUUUUGGCCAGCUUCUCGUCGGUGUUUGCCAGUAACUUCUGCCUUCCUCGAGUUGAUCCUGGCCUUCCGGCUCUUUUCGCCAUUCUCGUGUGACUUUCAAGAGAUCAUUCAGCUCAGCGUCUGAAAACGCUCAAGGAGAGCAAUGGGACAUAAGAGGGACACGAGAACAUGCAGGGCUUCACAGAGAGCUGUUCAGAUGGGAAUAGCUACCCCGGCUUCUUGAAGGUCAUUAAAAGCUCUUCUUUGGAC